CUACGGGGUGCAGCAGUGAGGAAUAUUGCACAAUGGGGGGAACCCUGAUGCAGCAACGCCGCGUGGAGGAUGACGCAUUUCGGUGUGUAAACUCCUUUUAUAUGUCAAGAAAAUGACGGUAGCAUAUGAAUAAGCACCGGCUAACUCCGUGCCAGCAGCCGCGGUAAUACGGAGGGUGCAAGCGUUACUCGGAAUCACUGGGGGUAAAGGACGCGUAGGCGGGUUGGAAAGUCAGGUGUGAAAUCCUACAGCUUAACUGUAGAACUGCACUUGAAACUUCUAAUCUAGAGUAUGGGAGGGGGAGAUGGAAUUAGUGGUGUAGGGGUAAAAUCCGUAGAUAUCACUAGGAAUACCUAAAGCGAAAGCGAUCUCCUGGAACAUUACUGACGCUAAGGCGUGAAAGCGUGGGGAGCAAACAGGAUUAGAUACCCCUGUAGUC
rnacentral:rRNA from 1 species